rnacentral:lncRNA from 13 species
CUGGUCUUGAUUCACUUUUCUGGAAGGGAGGGGGAGCUUUCAUUUUAUCUCUUCUGUAAUAAUAGCCUUUAUUUAUGCGUCCCAGAGGCAAUAUGGAAUUCUACUACGGAAUUCUACCAAGCUGAGCCUAUAUAUUUCCAUCAGACACUACAGGACUAGAGAAAUAACCACGGGGUGAGUUCAAGGCUCUAGUGAGUCAAUUGUGAGGCAGCGUACAAUAAAAAUUGAGUUGAUCACCUGACACUGGGUAUUAGUUAUCUAUAGCUACAUGUCAAGUUACUCAAAACUUAGUAACUGAGAACAGCACUUAUCAUCUCACAGCAUUCAGGAAUGCCGGAGUAGCAUGGCUGCAUGGUCCUGGCUGAGCAUCCCUCCCAGCCCACAGUCACCUCAAGGCUUCUCUGAGACAUGAUCCACCUCUGAACUCUGUCACAUGAUCACUGGCAGGCUGUGGUUCUUUGCUACGUGGGCCUUUUUAUGCCUCACAGCAUGGGAGCUUUCUUCCCCCAGCCGAGCAAUCCAAGAGAGUGUGAGACAGAACCCAGGGUCCAAAAAUACAUCUUUUUAUAAUCCAAUUUUGGAAGUGUCAUUCCAUUAUCCUGGGAGAUUGUCAGUAUCUAAACUUCAUUUUCCAGGGGCCACCUUUGGGACACCUGAAGUCGAUCAACUAACCAACUAUCUAGAAUCAGCCAAAGAUGCUCAAGUGAGCACAUCGACCCGAGCACUGUCAACCAGACUUCUUUCUUUCUGACUUGGUUCCUAACAAAUGGGUUUUGACUGCUACAGUGUGUUUCUCAAAUGGCAUGUUAAGUGGUGUUUCCCAUAUUAAAGCAGAGGAGUUGGAGCUCAGAAAUGAAAUUCUUCUCUGACUUUCCAAGCUCAGUGUUUCUGACUUAUGCGCUGCACCUACUUUCAGACCUCCAGGAAACAAGGAACAGGAAAUGGAAGAACACAGAGUUCACAGGCUCACACUGCAGCCUCAGCUCUUCCUUGAAGGGUCUUGGAGUAGUGACUCAACCUCUUUGGGUUUCAGUAUCUUUAACUGUACUAAGAAG